GACGUAGGGUCCGAGCGUUGUCCGGAUUUACUGGGCGUAAAGAGCGCGUAGGCGGCUCGUUAAGUCUGACGUGAAAUCUCCAGGGCUCAACCCGGAAACCGCUUCGCAUACUGGCGAGCUUGAGGAAGGCAGAGGUUAGUGGAAUUCCUGGUGUAGCGGUGAAAUGCGUUGAUAUCAGGAGGAACACCCAUGGCGAAGGCAGCUAACUGGGCAGUAACUGACGCUGAGGCGCGAAAGCGAGGGUAGCAAACAGG
rnacentral:rRNA from 1 species